UACGAAGGAUGCAAGCGUUAUCCGGAUUCAUUGGGUUUAAAGGGAGCGUAGGUGGCCUUAUAAGUCAGUGGUGAAAUCUUCAGGCUUAACCUGGAAACUGCCAUUGAUACUAUUUAUCUUGAAUACUUUGGAGGUAAGCGGAAUAUGUCAUGUAGCGGUGAAAUGCUUAGAUAUGACAUAGAACACCAAUUGCGAAGGCAGCUUACUACACAGUAAUUGACACUGAGGCACGAAAGCGUGGGGAUCAAACAGG
rnacentral:rRNA from 1 species